UUGCCUCCUUUCUUCCUUCUAAUUUAGCAUGCAUCAAUGCCAUUUUUUAUGGAAAAUAUUAGAACAUAAAACUUUCACAGAUAGGCAUUAGUUUAUGUACUGGUGUGUUAAGAAAAGGGACGAAUAGCUUACCAAUUUGAUGUAGAAGCAGGUUCAGUAUUAAAUUGUUAAAAGAGCAGCUGCUAAGAGUUCAGUUAGCUAGAGUUAACUGUUAAACUUACUGUGAAUGAGUUUUGGUACAUAAAACUCUUGCGGUUCUAGCAUUGUUAUGACUACUAUCACCCUCUUAACGAGAAAGGAAAAUGAUACUAAAUCAGGCUUCAAGAUUCUAUAUAUAGUUGUAGGUAUCAUCCAAGAGUUUUUUUUCCCUUUUAAAUGCAAGUAUGGAUCUGUACCUUUCAAGCUUGAAGCUUCUCUCUGUAUACUAUCCAGUAUAUCUGCAAGUGUCGAUUGGUUGCAUAUGUAACAAAUUUCGGUGCUUAAAACUAUGUGGUAGUGUGGUAGCCUUGAGACCUUUGUUUUACCAUUUUGGUUGCGACAUGCGUUAUGUCUUCUAGAAGGGUUUCUUAUCUAAGUUCGUUUGUUUAUCUUGUGGUUAAGGAUGUCUUCAGAAUCAAUGAGCCGUGUGUGUGUGUGUUAUAUUGUAUACGUGCAAGAAGCCUUGAAGUUCAUAAGUGCCUGUUGUGCCACAGUAGUAAAGUAAAACCGGUGCAACAUACUGUAUUGAACAGUAUUAGUACAUGGAUGUUAGUUGAACUGACCGGUAUACUGCACUGCAGGUGGGACAUCGAAACGGGACAGGCCAUCAGUGUCAGGAAGCUCAAACGAAAGUGAAAAAUGCUCAUUGCAGAAGCGGGCAAGGAAGGAGGUGAGCGGAUUCUUUGAUCUAAAUAUGCCGGCAGACUUGAUUGAAAGGAACUGAAAAAGGCUGAAGAUGUGUACAGAAGUAAGUCAAUACCAUAUUUUUUGACCAUGGAUGUUAAGAGUAAUUAAUGAGUAAGGCACGCAUGUGAGUGCGCCCUCCAAGACACUUGGUCUAAUAUUUUCUGCAAUUCCUGCGGGUUUUUUUUAUUGUUCUUUUCGUCGAAAUCUCGUGUUACUGCUAUGUGCUGCUGGGAUGUUGUACAUAGCCUUCCAUGAAAUGGGAGGUUGUUGGGAAUGGAUAGAUACGGUCGACGUGGGAGGGGUGGGUUAGAGUUGGAUUUUGUUGGACUGAUAAUGUAAUGCCUGCAAAUUCCCAGUUGGGAACAGUUAAUCCAGUUUUAAUUUUAUUUCUGCUUUGUUUUCAAGUGCUGCAACUGUCUGUUGCUGUUGCAUGCAUGGUAUCGGGUCUUCAGUGGAGAAGUUGGCUGCCUGUCGAUUUGGUUAUGAUCACUCGGUUAUUUGUUCAGACUUGAGAUUUCAAUGAUUGCAGGAAUAUGGUUUGAAGUUUGGUGAUUUCCAUGUUAAUAGGUGAAAGUCUAGUGACCGGACAAGUAAUAAACCCAACUAGGGCCGUUGAUGAACCAAACUACUCUCAAGUAGUUCGGUGUUCGACUCGGGAAAAACUCGUUUGUGAUUUGACGCUUAGCGAGUCAAACUUGAGUCAAGGUAUGUUUGAUUCGAUAGCCUCGCGAGUUGGCUAGAGUUCGAGAGCCAACUCGAAUACUAAUUCGAUAAUAUAGCUCGUUAUUAGAUUCAAUAAUGCAACAUGUGGCUUGUCACAAAUAACAUAUGCGAUAAAAGAUAUAUGUAAAAACUUAUUUUAGAAUAAUUUAUUUUUUAACUUGAUUUGUUGAUAUUUUUUAGGUAUAUACUUCAAAUCAACUUAAUUGAACUUUCAUUGUAUGUUUUAAAGAAUGAAAUUUGAGCUGAGCUCGAACUUGACUAUCAACAAGCUAGACUCUGGACCAAAAUUUUAUAGCAUGAGUUUGAGUUUGGCUCAAACUUAAUGAUCAAGAUUUUCGAUUUCCUACGAGUAUAAUAGGUAGAGAGAUUAGUCAGAUGUGCUAUGCUGUUGUCUGUAAUUGUCUCACUCUCCACUGAAGCUUCACGUCAACGAACUGUACCGUUAUGAUAGUACCAAAAAUCCCUCACCUCGCGUUCUGUUUCCUCUCUACAAAAAUCCAUCAUCUCUCUCUCUGUAACCAACAAUUUUCUACCCCUCCCUCAUAACUUCCGCUGCCGUUCACACGGCCGGUGUCUCUUCUCCUCUAGUUACCUCUGAAGUGCAAACUUAAUUUGAACUGUACCGCCGGUGUCCUAGCUUAGUACUAGCUUGUUUCCGUUCACAGACCUCUGACUGAUUGGGGUUCGUCUAGUAGAGAAAUUGAGAUGGAACAGCUGCUAUCAGCUGCACCCGAUGCUAGAUCCAACGAAACUGCUCUUGAUUCCGUCCAAUUUGGGGAUGAUAUCCGCCACUUAAUCACCGCCCCGACUGAAAAUUCGAGCUCCUUCACCGCUCUCCUCGGUUUGCCGCCCAAUCAGGCCAUGGAGCUACUCCACUCGCCGCCUGAUUCUACCUUCAAGACCUCACCCGACGGCCCCAAGCUGUACCAACCGCCUCACCACUUCAAUGCCGACUUGCUCACCUUCCCCGCCAACGCCGCCUUGAACAUUUCGCCCGAGACCAACUCGAAUUCCAGAGCGAAGCUGAUGCAGAAGACCGUGAAGGGCGAACCGGCAGAUACUGUAUCUUACCUGAUCAAUUCGUCGCAGCCGUUGGCUUCCGAUUCAACUGUCGUAGAUAAUCAGAGGCCGGGUGCAAAGAGGAAGGAGAGAGAAAAGAAGGUAGAAAUUAGGGUUCCUAGCUACUUCCAAGUGUGUUCUGGAUUUCUUUGUCUAAUUCAGUUCCGUAAAUGCAAACCCAUCGCCUAUUGAUCGAUCAAUCCAUCCAUCCCAGGGAAGAAGUUUCUCCAAGAAGAGCAAAUGCGAUAAAUCCGAAGACGGAGAGAAGCUCCCAUUCGUUCAUGUUCGAGCUCGUCGCGGUCAAGCUACGGAUAAUCACAGUUUAGCAGAGAGAGUAAUCAUCUUUGUUUUACUUAAACAUCCAUUAGUGACCGUCACUGGUAAUUAAUUAAUACAUCGCAUACCAACUAUUUUGUUUGGCAUUAGGCGAGGAGAGAGAAGAUCAACGCCAGGAUGAAGCUCCUUCAAGAGUUGGUCCCCGGCUGCAGCAAGGUACUGAUUAAUUUGUCGGACAUCUUAGUAAUCAUUUGACGUGGACUUUAUUCUGAUUAAUUAAUCAUUAAUUAAGAAAAGUGUGUAAUUACCUGAUUGUAUGUUUAGGAUUAUGUGUAGCCCUCACCUUUUGAAAAGUUGUGGUCUUGCUUUUGUACUAAGAACAGUUGGUAUCACUAUUGUCAAUUUUUUGGUGACGUUGAGGUGGGCUGCGUCGUCAUUUCACAUUUUCGCUAGGCUUCCCGUUUCCAGGGCUAGUUUUGUCAUUUGCAAUUGGAUCAUUUGGUUCUCUCGUACGGUAACCGGGACAGUUGCGCUCCUGCAAUUGCACUUCAAAUUAUCUCUGAUAGCGCUGAAUAAAACAUAGGGUUGUAAAAUAACCGUAUUAGCUGGAUAUGCUUCAGUGGCGAAGGAUCAAAUGUUUUGGUCCCAUUUUGCAGACGUGAAAUCUGCGUUCCUUCUUGAAAAGGUGCACCGUACCAACUUCUAUCCCAAGUUUGGUGUCUGUCUCUGAAAAUGUUAACCUACUGGAACAUGUGAGAUAAAAAAGAUCACUUUGAUUAAUUUGUUUGCCAAGUUCUGUAGACCUACAUCACGAUUAGUCGAUUUUAUGUGAGACCAAAAUAUCUGAUUCGUGUCUCGCUGUAUUUGUUUUGAACUUUUGAUAAAGUUUAUUUUCCCUGUUAUUAAUUCGUGGAUAGAAAGAGUUGUAGAUUGCACUUUGUGGUUUAAUCUGGAAACAGCUGAGAAGUUACCCUUUCUUUAGCCUGGCAUAUUUACUUAAGAUGAAUGAUUUGCUUCUGUGAUCAAGUUUUCCUGGUAUGCAGUUAAGUUAUGGCGAUCACAUAUUAUUCUUCCAGCAUAGUCCAUCAAUCUUUGUGUGAAGUUAUUUACUAUUGCUGUGUAUGCAACAGCUCAAUCAUAUGCUAUCUGUGAUAUGCAGAGCUGUAGGCAUUCCCUGGAACUUAAUACUACCAUUACUUGUAAGUUGGAACUGAUUUCUGAAUCCCAAACUAAGUGUACAAAGUUGUGUAUGCAGAUCUCUGGUACAGCACUCGUACUGGAUGAAAUCAUUAACCAUGUCCAGUCCUUGCAACGCCAAGUGGAGGUGAGGACCACAAGUCUAUCAUUGUCUUCUGAAACAAGGGGUCAUUAUGGAAGGGUGUUUUAAAUUAAACUGUUUGUGAUGCAACUGUAUUUCACUGGACUGCAAUCUACAGCAAUUCAGAAGGGAGGGUGCAGGGGUGAAACUCUCUUGAAUGAUGGAUAUAUAUGGCAACUUUUGUCAUCAUGUGACCGACAUGUCCUCUUUUAGUUUUUAGGAAGUUGAGUCUAAGAUUUUACUGAUUAUGCUAAACUGCUGUCUUAGUCUUCAAUUUUUUUACAUUGUUUCAGGUAUUGUCAAUGGAACUUUCAGCGGUGAACCCCAGAAUAGAUUUCAAUAUGGAUAGUAUGAUGGCUGUUGCAGUAAGUUGGCUUCAUCAUUGUUUGAAAUUGUGUUCAUAACUUCAUGUGCUAUACUGUGGGAGCAAAUAAGCUUUUAUGUGUUUGCUACUCUGUAGUCUGCAAAGUUGUACGUGUCUCUUUCAUUAGUUGAAACUAGAACUAGUAGUUAUUUUAGAGUAUAAGACAUGUAGUUCACUGGACAUUAGAUGUUUUUCCUUUUCAUGUAUCUAGAGAGGAAAAAGGAAAAGAGUCGAAUUUCAAGACCCUGCAGUAUCUGUCUGUCUGUCUGUCCUUUUGUCUUCAUGUUUCCAGCCGGGAGGACAAUAUAUAAUAUGCUCACCCACUGGCAGUGUUUCUUAUCGCUACAGAAUUUGGAAAGGUCAAAUUGGGCCGUUGAUCUGGAAAUACUUACUCUUAUCGCUACAGAAUUUGGAAAGGUCAAAUUGGGCCGUUGAUCUGGAAAUACUUACUAUUUGUAGUCUUUUCUAGAGUCUGAUUGAUCAGAAUCAACCUCAGUUAAUCUGUGUAUUUUCAUGGAAACCUGCAUCUGCCACCGACAAGUGUCUGUGUUGGAAAACACACUCUUUAACAAACUUAUGUGUAAUUCACCAACACUUACAAACUCAAACACUGUGCUGUUCAGCAUAUUAACUGUGUAUUUUGGUCGUUUAUCCGUUAACAGUUUACCCAUCCCCGUUGUUUUAUGGCAUGGCUGAUUUAACUGUUUCUUAACUACUUGAUCAAUCUGUUAUUUCUAUGUUAAAUGGAUGGUGCGAAGGAGUAAAUGUUUCUGGCUUCGUAUAAUUAGUUUCUUUUCCAUGGUUUUGUACCCUUCAUAUGGAUCAAAGACAACUAAAUGCCAGCUGAGUUUGAACUGGUUUUUCCUUCACUCAUUGUCUGACGUAUUCAACAUUCUGUGUAAAAAUUUCCAGAGUGGAUCUCUAAUGGAUAGCAACUUCCCAGCUGUAAUGAUGCCUAUUAUGUGGCCAGAAAUACAAGAAAAUGGGAGCAGACAACAGUAUCAACAGCAAUGGAAUUCAGAUGCAGUUCACCAGCCAACUUGGGGGAAAGAAGAUGGCCACAGCAACUUCAUGAGUCGAGAGAACUCGCUGUUGAGUUACGUCUCCUCGGCAAAUUCAGGUAGAAAUGAGUUCAUUUUGCCAUUAGUUGCAUCAAUGAGUACUGGAAUGAAGAUCUGUACUUAUUAAUAGAGAAAAAAUGGUAAAUUAUACUCUUCUACUGUAUAGAGCUAAUGUGGUUGCUGCCGGAUGGGGACAAAUUGACUGGUUUUGGUCAUAAGUACACCCCUACUUGGUCUUACAUUGUUACUACUUUUGGAUGCAGCAUCUCUAAACUCGAAUGAACUAAAAUGGAGCUAUGAACAACGGUGAUUGUAGCUGAGCUAAGGAGUGGGGUAUAUAUAAAUAUGGAAUGGAAUAUGCAGUAGUUGUAUUAGCAGGUAGCAGGCAGGAAUGUGAAUAGAGGAAGGAAAGCUCGAUCUCAUUAUUCAAUUGUCCCUAUUCAUCCGACCGACGAUCAUGGAGGCGAAGAAUUCGGCAGCAAGCAUUGUAUACGACAUUAUAUUGAUGAUAAAACUUGUUUUUCAUAUAUAGAUAUAAGUUAAUUUUUGUAUACAUGUAAUAGAACUAAUCCGUUACAGGUGCUGGAAAAUUGAACGACUGGAGAAUAAUAAGGGGUAUGAAAUGCAUUGCAUCAUCACUACUGACUGUACUAUCCAAGCAGCAGUUGUAAAAGGUAUGCCGAUUGGGCAAGUAGGGAGGAUGUUGUUAUGUGUUACCUUUGUUAAACAAUUUAAAAUUAAAUUAGUUUAAAACAGAUCAGUAGAUGAUUGGAGAAGGGAAAUGAUCCUCUAGAAAUGCUACCAGCCAAAUGAAAUGAAGUCUUCUUGACUCUUGAAAGUUGCAACGGAAAAGUCAAUUCUCUACCGAUUUUGCCAAGAUCCAUCCGCAAAUCAAAUCCAAUCCCCCUCUCUGUCGAAGAAUGCCAACUCUGCUUCUCUACUCCAUCAUCCUCCAUUUCAUCCUUCCCGCCACUUCUUCAUCAUCUUCACUCCCUCCAGCAAUCCAGCUCCCUCACCCGCCCUCCCCUACCACCGCCGUCUACGUCACUGACUAUGGCGCCACCGGCGACGGAGCUCACUACGACACAUACGCCAUCCAAUCCGCAAUCGACUCUUGCUCUCCUUCCUCCUGCUCCUCCUCCACCUGCUACGUCACCUUCCCGCCGGGAACCUACCUAACCGCCACCAUCCACCUCAAGUCAAACGUCAUCCUCGAUAUCCAACCCGGCGCAGUCCUAUUGGGCGGUCCAAGGGUUGAGGACUACCCCAAGCAGUCCAGCAGGUGGUAUGUGGUCCUGGCGGAGAACUGCACGGACGUCGGGAUCACCGGCGGGGGGAGUGUCGACGGCAAUGGCCCCAUGUUUGUUGAGAGGUACAACAGUGUGAAGAACGUGAUGGUGAGCUGGAACGCCACUGGCGAUUGUUUGGGGGACGAGUGCCGCCCUCGAUUGGUUGGUUUCCUUGGCUGCACUAACGUCCGCGUCUGGAAUGUUAACUUCACCCAGCCCGCUUACUGGUGGUCAGUUCUUGUUCUUUCAAUUUCUAUUCAAUCUGUUCAUUUCCUUAGCUUAUCUGCAGAAUUUGCUGUCAAGCAUAGUGAAUGCGAGUUAAUAUACAGUCAGACUUUCACAGUCAACUGCUAGUUAAGAUCAAUGUUGAUGAAGUUAGGCAAAUGAUUGAUGUGAGAAUUCAAAUUUCAAAACCAACUGAUGGUGGCAAGGGACAAGCUUAUCCUCUGCAGUAUUGCCUGGAUUGGUUAAGAGGAUAUUUCUUUAUUGUCGCUACAGACAUAAUUGGUUAAAGAAAAUAAAAGAGUGGAUAUUGUAUAGACUAUCUACUAUCCAACGACAGAAGAUGACUAGUAGCGUUGUUUGCUGCUUUGUCUUGGUAUGAAUUGUUUGCCUAGAAAAGCUUUUUCUAUUCUUCAUUGAUUCUGAAUGCGACAUCUGAUCUACCAAUUCUGUUUUGAGAAAUUUGGAAGCUAUCUCCAAACGAAUGAAUACCAAAAGCUCACGCUUUCAUUGUUUGGAGAUGGCAGAUGCAUAAGGUUAUAUAUCAUACAUACUUACGGGGAGAAUCAGAUAUCUACUUGAGUUUCUUUAUUUCGUAAACAAACCUGACGAUUGCAUUUUUGCAGCUUUCACCUGGUAAGGUGCAGCAACUCUCUAAUCCAUGAUGUUUCUAUAUACGGCGACUUCAACACACCUAACAACGAUGGGAUCGACAUUGAAGAUUCGAAUAAUACAGUCAUUACACGAUGCCACAUUGACACGGGAGAUGACGCCAUUUGUCCCAAGACAUACACAGGGCCCCUCUAUAACUUGACUGUAACCGAUUGUUGGAUUCAAACAAAAUCUUCAGCUAUCAAGCUUGGGAGUGCUAGUUGGUUUGACUUUAAAGGGCUGGUCUUUGACAACAUCACCAUCGUGGAUUCGCAUAGAGGACUUGGAUUUCAGAUACGAGAUGGAGGUUGGUUUUUUCUAUUUGUGCUUAAAUGAGAAAAGUCUAUAAAAAUAAACAGUCCUGACUCUAUCAAUCUGCUAGUGCUUGAAUUGGAUACAGUUCUUGAUAAAAAUUAUACCUUUCUGAAUUGGUUCAUAGUCCAUUCACCGAAAUUAGUUGUUCCAAUGAGAGCACAGAAUGGAGAACUUUGUAUAGUAGCAAACUCCAUUAUAUAUCUCAUGAUCUGUUUAUUGUCAUUUCUUACUUUUCCAGCUCAUUGGUCUGCAUGACGCAGAGAUGGUUAUAAAAACCUGAAACUGGAAUAAUUGAAUCUGUUUCAGGAUCUUUGUUGUAGCAAAGAUGUCCAUACUUCCAACAACAAUCGACUCUGUGAAUGAUGAUAAUGAAUCCCUUAAACUUUUUUGGUCUUUCGUGCAGGAAAUGUGAGCGACAUCGUUUUCUCCAACAUAAACAUAAGCACAAGAUACUACGACCCAUCAUGGUGGGGGAGAGCAGAACCCAUCUACGUGACAACGUGCGCAAGGGACUCGAGUUCAAAGGAAGGCUCCAUAUCCAACCUCGUCUUCAUCAACAUAACUGCGCACUCUGAGAACGGAAUCUUCUUAUCAGGUUGCAAAGGUGGCAAGCUCAGCAACUUGAGGUUCACAAACGUGAAGCUGACGUACAGAAGGUGGACAAAUUUCAAAGGUGGGUUGGUGGAUUACCGACCCGGAUGCCAGGGGCUUGUGAAGCAUGGCGCUGCAGGGAUGAUAAUGGAACACGUCCAAGGCCUGGAGGUUGAGAAUGUGAGCAUGACAUGGUCCGGUGGUGAAGUUGCUGAAGAAGAAUGGGAUAACCCUCUUGAGUUUAGACCUUCUACCGUUAACAACGUCUCUUUCCUCAAUUUUCAUUCGGGGAUGUACUACGACGCCGCACUGUGAGACGGAUAAAGCUGACGAGUUUCUGUCCAAUUAUAAAACGUUGUCGUUUAGUUUUUUUUUUUAAUUUAAGAAAUGACCUUGUGGUAGUCCACAUCAGCAGGAAAGAGUGACAACGCAAUCUCCGACGUGUCCAUAUCACUUUUUUCCUUCAUAAUUUGAUUAUAGGUACGCUGUGAACAAAAUAAAGAUUAAUGAUGAAUGUGAUUGAUUUUAAGUAAUUUAAUAAUAUUUGAUACUUUUAAAUUCAUAUGUUAUAAACAAAACAAUUAAACAAAUAUACGUCUUAAAAUUAAUCUCACAAACUAAAUAAAUUUUUUUAUUAUUUAUAUUUAAUAUCUUGAUUUCUCCUCUCGAAACAUUAAAACAAGUGUCAUUUGCCAAAUAUAACGUAGCGGCAUAUAGGAGUCAAAACGACAGAGUUUGAGAAAGAGAAGUCCGUCCGCCAGCAUUCCUAAUUUCCAUAAAACCAAAGGGCAGCCCCGAACGCAUCAAUUCCUCUCUCGACCCUAAUAGCACGCCGGAAACCGAAAAAUGCCUACGCUGCAACUUUUCAAGUCGGCGUCCACCAUGCUCCGCCAACGGCUGGCCGGAUCUCUCCGCACCCGCGGCGGCCACUCCGGACCUAGCCCAUGGGUAACCCCAGGCCACGAGGAGCGUCCCAAGGGCUACCUAUUCAGCCGGACUCCGCCGCCGCCUGGACAGUCCCGCAAGUGGGAGGACUGGGAGCUUCCUUGCUACAUCACCAGCUUCCUCACCAUCGUCAUCCUCGGCGUCGGCCUCAACUCCAAGCCCGAUCUCACCAUCGAGACAUGGGCUCACCAGAAGGCCCUAGAGCGCCUCGAGAUGGAGAAAUUGGCUCUCUCUUCCACUGAUUCCGAUUGAUACCAAACCGGAAAUGUGGCGGUUUCCCCGUUUUCCCAGUCUGAUCGAUCGACAGUUGUUUGAAUGGAAGGGGUUUCCAAUUCUCUAUUAUGUUGUCGAUAAUGUGUAGUUUGAGAAAAUAAAAGUUUUGCGACUUAACUUCGUUUUUUGUUGAUGAAAUUGGGGAUUCAUCUGGAUUGUUUUAGUUCUGGCACUUAUAGCUGUUUACUUAUGUAUGGAUUGGCAUUCCAAGUUUCAUACUUCAGUCUAAUUGCACCGUUAAGGCUGCUAAAUUUCGUUAUCUCGAUUUUAUUUCUGCAUCUGCCUGGAGAAUUUUUGGCUUCAUUUACUCAUUAUCCAGUUGUGGUUGACUUGCACUUUGUUGCUUAUGUCCUUAAGCCUGGCCAGCUCACUCUGAUGCUCUGAUGCGGUGCUGGAUUAAGUAUUUUGAUUCUUAUAAUGCCUUUCAUUUGUGAUUUCAAUGAUCUUUUGAACUUUAGAGAUAUUUAUUGUUUGGAAUUCAUUAACAAAUUGUUCAUUGGUUUACUUGGCUGUUAAAUUGUCUCAAGUAGUCAAGUAAGAAUGUCUUUCCAUUGUCAACCGCAGUAUUGUGAGUUUUGCUUGAUCACUUGUAUGUUAUUGGAGAAUUAGGUGCUUCAAAUAUGUUUUGGUGUCGUUGACUUGAAGCAGGCAUAUGAAUAGCUUUGUGUCGGAUCUGGUUCACAAUUCAACGGGUAUUGUUCAGGUAAAGGUGGAUUUCUUGUUAUUUGUUAGAGAACUUACUUGUGGGUAACUUGAACAGCUUGCUUACAGGUAGAUGUGAGUUUUCUGUUUGGUUCUUACACUAUCUACCUGUGGAUGAUUUGGGACAUUCUUGUACCAAUGUGGCCUCCCCUCCUUAUUCCUAUUUUGAUUUGAAUGCUUAGAUUAUUAUCUCGAUGUUCUGUGUAGCUUACUUUAUGGUCCAUACGUACUGGUUAAAUAAGUUCAGAUUCAGUGAGCGUAGAAUUUCUUCUGUGGUAUGUUGUGGCUUUAUGAGGGAACUGGCAAAAUAUGGGAGUUGUUUUUUGGCACUUGAAGUGAUUUGUUAUUAUCCUAAUAGAGUAAUAGGAGAAUGCUUGGCUUGAGGCUAGAACAUAGGAUUGGUUGAUCGAGUAAGAAUUGCUGGCUAGGAUAAAAGGCAAUGCAUAAUAAGUUGUGGAGUUUAGCAUGUUCUAGGAUGUUGUUAGAUGCUAUAUGGUGUAGGCUGUAUGAAUCUGUACUAUUGACAUGAACAUCUGCAGAGUCUUUCAAUCCUGUUGAUAUCAUCUGAUUCAUCGAACUGGAAGUGUAGUAUCCAGUCCAUCUCAUCACUAGUUUUUUUAUGAAUUAAGCCGUCUUAUUAUUCAUGAUCAAAUCUUUGCGAAAGGAUGUUUGUUUUCGGAAGGCUGCAAAAUAGGUUAUACUCUGUUAUUGGAUGUUGAAUAAUGAGUCUCGAAAUUAAGUUUGGAGUUGAUUAGGUAGCUGUUUGCAUAAGAUUAUUCCGCACAUUGCUGCCGAGUAAGUAGCAGUAGCUGUCCUGCAACGAAACACAUGAUUGGAAGAGGUACUGCUGCUGCGCAUGAAUUGAGUAGGUUUGUUGGAAACUGGAGUGUUGUUGCAUGAUGUUGGUUAACACAUGAGAUGCUUGGUAGGUGGUAAUUAGAGAACUCUAAAUUUUGGAAUUAGCAUCACCAUCUUUAGCUGCAGCAUGGUUUAUCUGAUCAGAUGAAGGGAAACCCCUUCUUGUAAACGCAGCCAUGCAAACCCACGUUAUUUUAGACCCGUUUCAUUACUUGUCUGAUUCUUAGAGGGACUUCUCAGAUCUUGUUUAUCGACUCUCGGAGUAGGGGUGGAAGUUUAAUCCAAACCUGUGGAUACUCAUCUUCGACGUGAUGUUAGAAAUUGUUAGUAAUAGAGUCCAUGCUUCUGAAGUCGUGUUCCACAAAAAUAAAACUCAUUCAAUUCAAGAUCCUUAAUUAUUCUCCCUUAGUUCUUGUUUCUUUUUUGCAACCCCAACUUCCAAUUCAAACAUCAUGGUUCCAGAGGUAGACCAUAGAAUGGUUUCAGGGCCCAAGGUACGCAAGGAAUCGCUGGUGGCCAAGCAGCCCUUGCGAAAUCCACGGAGGCCGAAUCGUGAAGAUAAAAUUCUGAUGGCCAGACGCAUAGCAACAUCUUAGCAGACUGUCUGAAGCAAACAAUAAGGGUCUUUGUUAUCAUGUUGUCUAAUGCAACAUGUGUCCUGAAAAAACUACUUGUAAUAGGGUGUGUGAAUCUUGCUAUCAACUUAUGAACAAUACCGGUACGUGAUUUGUAAAAAAAAACAAUACCGGUACAUACAAUAUCGUCCUAUAGCAUCGACUCCAUACUUUUUAGGAUCGAUCAUCAGAUACACUCUUAGUUCUCACUCUUGAUUAUGAGGUGGUUCACUUCUUGAACUCAAGUGACUAACACCGACAAUGCGGAAGAUUCACCUGAACCCAUAAACAGAUCAUAUGCUAGACGAAAAAAUCUCUUACAAUUCAUAAAUACUUGCUGACAAUAUGUUUAAAAACAUCCCAUAUUAUUUACACGCCGCUAAUAUGGAAAUAUAAUUCACAUCUACCAGAUGAUUUGGAUUUUCUUCAGCACAAACUAGCUAUAGUUGAAAAGGAAAUUGGCAUCCAUGGACCAUGUGGAUGUUGAGCGUAGAGAUCUAUUUGGUGACUUGGGCAAUCAUAUUGCUAAUGGAAGUGGCCUCCUCCUUAGCCAUCUCCACCAUGGAAUCCUGCAUUCAUGAAUCAACUCAUAGUUAUUGCAUUCUUAUAUUUCCAAAGGCCAUAACACAAUCAAAUAUCAUACAUGCUUUCUUUCUUCUUACAUGCGUGGACAUCAAUCUUAUCACAGCUCGUUUACUCGAUUCCUGAAACUCCCCUGCUAUCAGAAUCUCAUCCAGUAUGUAGUAAGCCUUGUGAAAAUUGAAGAUCAAGUCCAAUUCACACACCUAAUCAAAACCAUUCCAAAUUCAGUACUCUGGUCAGACGAAACGAGAAUUGAGGAAUCGCAGCAUUAAGAAUACUUACGCUACCAAAAUAUCGAUCAAGUAUUUCGACAAAGUGGUGAAUGAUGUCAAGAACUUCCAACUCGUUGUCCGCCUCGUCGAUGCACAUGCAGAAAUACAACCCUGCAUACCUUCUGUAAAUGACCCUGUACCCUCUCCACUCGACGAAAUUGCAGAGCUUCGGACCCCGAUUCAGCACUAUUCCACUCAGCUCCCUUAUGACCUUCGAUCUUUCCUUCUGGGUGUAAGGAGAGUACCAUUUCGUCAGCCUCACUUUCCCUUGACGACUGAUGAGAAGAACGAAGUGAAUCUGCAAACACAACGUGAGAUUAGUGUGACAAUGAUCAUCUGUAUAUUAAUCAAGCCAUGGAAACGAACCAUCUGGUAGAGUUGGAAACCAGCUAUAGCUUAAAAUCAAACGCCAGAAUGAAUAUGAAUUCAGAGCAGAAGGAAUUUUGUUGUCUAUGGGGUGAUGAAUUAUUGAUGAGCAAAUUAAUUGUUCAUGAGGGUUAUUUACUCCGCGAAAUGCUCUCCCACCCUCCAUUUCUAUCAACACUCCAAGUUUUUCUCUUCAAUAACCGGUCUUCCAUUUCUAUCGCCUCUCACGUUAUGUAUCACUGUUUAACUUAACUUUUUAUUCCCCCCUUGUUAUCAUUUUUGAACCACCUUAAUAAGAUAGGACUGAAUGUACGUACAACUAUAAAACUUAACUUCAGUGUUGUUAUCUCCACCUUUAUUCCAGGUUUGAUUUGUGCAUAAAUUCUCAUCAUUAAUAAUACAAACUUGAUCUCCUUCUGGAAAAAAACUUCAGUGUUAGAGGUACGUAUGAUACUAAAUUAGCAAUUUCGAGUUUUGCUGACGGAGAACAAGAAUUGGGGGUGUAGCUCAUAUGGUAGAGCGCUCGCUUCGCAUGCGAGAGGCACGGGGUUCGAUUCCCCGCACCUCCAUUUUUUUUACAGUCAUUUUCAUCUCCGGCGCCAAAAUCAGUGUGGAAUGGCGGGAACCGGCAAACAAAUUGAAACAGAAAACCCAGAUAAAAUAAAUCCAUCUUUGCCUGCCUGCAUCCCCGCUACUAAUCAGUAAUCACAGUUUUCUGCUUCUUCAAGGCGUUCUUCAAAUUUCUCCGUCACAUCCGCCAUUUCGGUCUGAUCGUAGUUAUUUAUUUAUUUUCCCUAUUUCGGCAUACCUUUCAUCGCAACUGGGUGAAGAUGGGAAAGAGAAAGAAAUCUAGGGUUUCACGCGAAGACGAGGAAAUCGAAUUGGAAGGAGAAGAAGAACGAAACGAGGAUCAGAAUGACAAUGAGACCACCAACCAGUCCUCUGGAGACGAGAAAAGCCUUUACGAGGUACUUCAAUUUCGCCUUCUCGCCGUCAAUUGAUGUUUAGUGGGAUUUGCCCUAUUUGAUCUCAUUUGUUAUGAAUUAGGGUUUUGGGGUUGGUUGUGUGUGGAUAUUCUGUGUUUCUUUUUUUUUUGUCACUUGACCUCAACUAUUUGUUGGUAACCCAAUUUAUGUGCAGUGAUGAAUGUGCUGCAUUACUUGUUUGGUUAUUCGAACCGGCAGCCUUGUUAGCAGCUCUUAGUCUGAAAUUCGAAACUGAUACUCUGGAAUUCCUUUCAAAGUUUCAAUCAUUGUGCUUGCGAUGAACUAUGGAAAUAUGAGUACACGACUGAACUUCUUGAGCCUAUGAGAAUUUCAAGAGUGCCACUUACUUCCCCUAAACAGCAGUUUGAUUUGUUGGUUGAACAUAUUGCGCUAGAUGUUUACUUAUGAAAUGCAUUUCUGAUAUUUAUUGUUAUUAUACAUGAGGAUCUGGCAGCAUUUUACUUGAUCCGAAUAGGUUUUCCGGAAACAACCAACUGGAAUUUGCCUUAUGUCAGUUAUGUGUUAAUGUUCUUCGCCUGGUAGUUGCGUUUUUAUAUUUAUCAAGUUUCCCUCCUUAAGUUUCUUUGUUACGUAUACAUUUUGUAUAGUUAGGAUGGGGUGCUAGGUUCACUAAAUCAUAUAAUGGUGGAUGUAGGUUCUUGGUAUUAAGAAGACGGCCACUCAGCAAGAGAUAAAGAAAGCAUACCACAAAUUGGCCCUGAGACUCCAUCCCGACAAAAACCCAGAUGAUGAGGUAAUGAGUUGUGGAUCAGUAGAUGGGUGUCUUUUCUUCGGGCGUAAAUUAUUUUGAUAGUUACAAAUUUUCCUCCUUACAGGAAGCGAAAGAGAAGUUUCAGCAAUUACAGAAGGUGAUUUCCAUUCUCGGAGAUGAGGAAAAGCGGGCAGUCUAUGAUCAAACUGGCUGUGUUGAUGAUGCGGUAAGUUCUUAGGACCCGGGAUCUAACAUGUAGUUACGCGUGGCUUGUUUUCAUGGUCCAAAAAUCAAACCAAAACUGAAGUCCAUGUUUGACACUGGUAUGUGUGAUACUAUAUCAUAUGGCAAUCAACAGUGUUGACGAGAGCAAUUGCUAUGCAAAGGAAGAAUCAACAAUUGUUCGUUACCACCACACUUUUGUAUCUUGAUGGAGUAUGUUUUUCAUUUGGCUUUGCUAUUUUCAGGACCUUGCAGGUGAUGUUGUCCAGAAUUUGAAGGAAUUUUUCAGAACAAUGUACAAAAAGGUAGGAUUUUUAUUCGUGUAUCUACUAAUCCUUAUGGUAUCACGUUGCACACCUUCGUAUCACCAAUGUUGUAAGACUGUAACUUAUUGCGUUAAAAACAGGUUACAGAAGCUGAUAUUGAAGAGUUUGAAGCAAAUUAUAGAGGAUCUGAUUCGGAGAAAAAUGACUUGGUUGACCUUUAUAAGCAGUGCAAGGGCAGUAUGAAUAGGUAUGUAUGUAAGCUUUCAAUCUAGUAUAUGAUGACCUUCCGGAUUUAACCUAUACAAAGGUUUUAACUUGUCUCUAAUUCCCAGGGUCUUCUGUUCUAUGCUCUGCUCUGACCCUAAGCUUGAUUCACACCGAUUCAAAGUCAUUCUGGAUGAGGCAAUAUCUGCAGGUAAUGCUUCUGUAGUUAUGAAGAAUCAUUUAUCAUUUCUGGCUCAAAAUAUUUCAAUCAUGAGACUAUUAGAUCUUGAAUUGUCUUGUAAUUUUUUCCUGGUUGAACCAUUUAAGCACACAUUAGAAUGUUUGUUUGUUAAAUUUGCAGGAGAAGUGAAAGCAACAAAGGGUUACGAAAAAUGGGGGAAGAAAGUAGAAAGAACGAAGGCGCCUAAGAAUCUGUUGAGAAGGAGAGGUAAACAGAAGCAUAGAGCGGUGGAAGACGAUCUACUUGCUCUUAUGGCGAAUAGGCAGAGUGAGAGGAAAGAUCGGUUUGAUUCAAUGUUCUCUUCACUUGUGUCCAAAUAUGGGGGAGGUAGCACACCUUCAGAACCAACUGAUGAGGAGUUUGAAGCCACCAGAAAGAAAAUGGAGAGCCGUAGAGCAUCAUCAUCCAAGAAGGCUAAGAGAAAGUAGACAUGCAGGCGCCUUCUGGUUGCAGAGAUUUUUGUGAGAUAAACAAAACUCUUCCAGAAUCGGAUGCUGAGUUCAAUAUAUGAACUGAUAACUGAUAAGUCUGUUACUUCCGUAACUCAACAAAACUUGUUUCAGAGUCGAAUUGUUUGCUUGGAAAUUGGUUGUAUCUUCAUUCGUCCCCUUAUUAUCGGUCACUACAAACUAUAAGAUUUUAGCGACAGAAAAGUAGAUGUCGAAUAAAGGUAAGCAUUGGUCGCAGGAAAUCAUUCGUGACAGAUACAAACGUCACCAUGUCUAUCACGAAUACUAUGGUACCCGAAUUUUAGUUUCUGUCAUUAAUUUUUAACUUCUGGGACAAAUUGGCAAGAGGAUGUGAUCUCUUUCGUGACCAAAUAUUUAGUGACCGAUUGCAUUUCCUUUGAAAUUGGCCAAACGUUGCAGUGUCUUUUUCAAUUAGCCAACUUUUGGCCUAGUUCAAUGGAAACGGAAUUUGUAAGCCCUUGUGGUUAUGAUCAUUUUUAUAAUUUUGAUUGGGUUUAAUCUGAAUUUAUUAUUUCGCAUUAAUUUGUGAUUGUUAAUAUAAUUUUUUUUGUAAAGAGCAUUAAUUUAUUACUUCUAAUGUGAGGUAGGAGGAUGUAGGGGAAAUCGGUCUAGCAAAGCAAAUUAUAAUCAAAGAAAUGGAAGUCUAUAAUUACAUAAUUAUAUUAAAAUAAUACCAAGUUAUUUGAUGAAUGAUAAGAUUCAAUCGAUUGAAUUAUCUGCGCCGAUACAAUACUUAAAAUACUCAAAGAAAAUCAUAAUUAAGAAAUGGAAUUGUAUCAAUAUAUUAAUGAACAAAUAUCCUUCAUUUCAAUAAAAAAAUGCUACCAACUUAGGUGCAUUUUAAUUCAACUUACAAACAGAUUGGAAUGAAAAACGGAGUAAAAUUAUAUGAAUGCAUUCCCUUCUCUUGCAUUUUUUUUCGUUAUUUAUAUUUUCAUUUUUAUUCAUUGCUCAUGUUUUCGCUCGUCGUUUGAUUUAUGUAUAAAUUGAUGAUGAUCACUGGAAAUAGUAACCAAAGAGAGAAACGAGGGAAGCUCCAACCAAAGUGCCAAAAGCAGGCAAUGCGGAGCUGGCAUCACUGGUGGGGCCACCAGCAGGCCCUCCUGCGGCGGUAGGACCUCCGGCGGCCAUAGGGGCGCCGGCGGCAGUGACGGGGCUUGCGGACGGAGUGAGCAAUGCAGCUUCUUCAGCGGCCAAGACAGCGCUGAUGGAGGCGGCGGCGAAGAUGACGGCGCAGGAGAUCUUCUUCAUGUUCAUGGUUGCAAAUUAGGAUGCUUUGGCCACGAAGAGAAGAAGACUUUACUGGACGACGUACGGAACCUGCUUUAUUAAUUUAUUUCUUUUGCUUCUUUUUUUGUGUGUGUUUUUUUUGCAGGUUUGAAUAUGAAAGUGGGUUUGAAGGACAAUUUAUAGGGAGAAAUUAGACAUAUUUUUUGGAACUAUUCUUGGUAAUGGCUAUUCUUAGAGAUUUGGGUUAGGGAAACAGAAAUUAUUGGCUGUAAUUAAGAAAUUAUUGACCAAUUCUUCUGCCCUUCGUGUUGAAGUUCAGCUCAAAAGGGCAGUUUCGUAAUUAUACACUUUUUAUUAGAUUUAUUUAUUUUUUCUAAUUUUUUAUUUUAAUUAAUAUCUUUUACACAUGAAUUUGGAUUCGAAUAAUUUUUGUGUCAAAAUCUUAGUUUUUUAAAUACGAUUAAAACUAGUACGAACUUUUUUUUCUGAGGCCAAAGACGUGAGUUGACUGCUCAAAACUACACAUUAUAUGUAUCACCAAACUAUAGGUAGUUAUUAGCAACUUAGACGUAGUUAUUUAGGAACUNNNNNNNNNNNNNNNNNNNNNNNNNNNNNNNNNNNNNNNNNNNNNNNNNNNNNNNNNNNNNNNNNNNNNNNNNNNNNNNNNNNNNNNNNNNAGGUAGAGGUAGUUAUUAGCUACUUUGAGCUAGUUAUUAACAACUUACUUUUACUUAUAAACAACUUAAACCUAAAGUAGACAUAAAGAAGGAAAAGUAGUUAUUAGCAACUUAGACAUAGGUAUUGAGGAACUUCUCGUAGUUAUUAACAAUUUAGACGUAGUUAUUGAGGAACCUCUCGUGGUUAUUAGCAACUUAGACGUAGUUAUUCUUCUCGUAGUUAUUAGCAAAUUGGAGGUAUUGAACGCUCCAUGUUCCUAAUAUGUACAUUUUACGGCUGAAUGAUGUAAGAUCAUCCCCUCAAAAUGAAGUGAUGACGAGCCCCCUAAAAAACACGAGUGAUUUCCUCGGAAAAAUACACGUUUUUAAAAGUUCUCAAAUACUAUCAAUAUUGAUAUCANNNNNNNNNNNNNNNNNNNNNNNNNNNNNNNNNNNNNNNNNNNNNNNNNNNUGUCAAGAGUAUGUUAAAAUAAAAAGAGAUAUACUCGAAAUAAGGUGUAAAAAAUUAAUAUCGAACUUGUUACAUUCGUCUUCAAAAGGUGAGUCUUUCUAUAUAAAAAAUAUAAAAAUCAGGUUCAAACUGAACGAAUUAUGUUAGUUCAAAAAAAUAAUAGAAAAAAUACAUUUUUAUGAUAUUUAAACAGCCUACUCAAAUUUGAGCUGUUAAAUUAAAAAGGGUUGAAUAAAAGAUUAUUUGAUGACUAAGAUUCUUUCAGCGGCCUGCGGAAGAGCCUCUUUUAACACCAGAAGCAGGUCUUAUUAGAAUGACUUUUGUAAGGGUGUGGUUUUGUCUGGUUCAAGGAGGAAAAUCCUCAUUGAUCUGGUUUAUGUCAUUAGAUCUAUUUUAGUUUUUCAACAGAGUCGCCCAUUAGCAUAUAUCGGGCGGCCUUUCGAUACAGGACCUCAAUAUUUUGGGAUAGGGCUUCUAAAUUUUCAUUGGGCGGCCCUGUUUUACAAUAUACAUUUUUUUUAAUUCUAACCUCCAACUUCAAUUACGUUGGAGGUCUCAUGUAGGCAUGGAUUGUAUGACAAUUUUCCACACAUAAGACCUCCAACUUACUCGGAGUUGAAGGCUAAUAGGUGCAGUGAAUCUAGUAGACAAUUCUAAAAUUAAAAACCUCUUGAACAAUGAUUAGAGUAUAGACUAAAGUCAUCUGACUCGCAUCUCUUUGAUGCGUUGGAUGAAAUCUAUUCUACGCACACUACCUUUUACUAAAGCUUACCACAAGCAGACUAGAAUUCUUCCUAGUAAGGAGAAACUUUAUCUUUGGUACCAUGGUGGACAUUCCUACUUCCUGCGACAUUGUGGAUAUUGUUGAGCAUUGUUUUCUCAAUUUGAGCUCGCUUUUGAACUUACGAAACUUAUCGGGUAUAGCCCCUUAUGUGACACAUUAGCUAGGUUGGCUUGAACAAUGGUGCUUCCGUUUGAAGAACUGGAUAAUUUGACAUUGCUCGCUGUGUCAUCUUGAAAGUGUCCAUUCAAGCAUGUACCUUGUAAGGCAUGCCAGGAAAAUGUAAAUAAUAUGGUGAAAAUUGUGGAGAGAGGCUGAAACUUGGAGCCAUUAGUUGUUCGCCAAAUGUCACACUAGCGAACACAAAAGAAAAUAUCUCGACUUCUUUACUGCAACGUUCGUUGUGAACACAAAAACUGAAGCAUGGGAAUCAUGACAAAGAAAGAACACAGCGUCAGUUUGUAAUUAAAUGUACUCACAUGUAUACCACCACUAUGUGUGUGUGGAUUCGAGAAUUGUAACGUGUCGUGACAAUGGUUAUCUACCGUCCAGCUGUCAUCCAAGCAAGCACGUGCCAUAGCCUGUACAACAAAGCCCCAUACCUCCCGAGCCCAGCCCAUAACCAUAAAUUCAAUGGUCGAUUGCAAUGAAAUCCAACUUGAAAAUAAUAUGUAUAAUUAAGAACAAGAUUCUUAAUGCUGUGUAGCCCACACCGCAACGGAAUAAUUUUUCUUUUAGCUGUCUCCACCAUAUCAUGUCGACCAAUUAAUUCCUACAUAUAUUUUUUUUCAUUUAUUCGCUUUUAAUUUAAGCACAAGAGGGCCCCACCUCGCCCACCUGCCGCGCCGCGGCCGUUGCUCCGCCCAAAAACCCUUGCUAUAUAUAAAUCAUCCUCUCCCCCCACUUUGCAUUCCUUCAACCCACAGCAGCUAACUCUCAACUCUCUCAAAUUUCCAAACUCUCUUCAAAACCCUAUCCCUCUAUUCAUCCCCAAAACUCCUCUGUCCUCUACAAUGGCCCAUUCGAGCUUCUCAAAGGCAGCUACCCUCUCCGCGGCUGUCCUCGUCGCUUCCCUGGCGGGCCUGGGGUCCGCUCAGGGCAUGAUGGCCCCCCCUCCUCCGCUUGUCCUCGUCGCUUCCAUGGCCGCCAUGGUAUCCGCUCAGGACAUGAUGGCCCCUGCUCCCGCUCCCGCGAGCGUGGCCGGCGCUGGCUUCUCCGUUCCCGUUUCCGGAGCUGUUGUCGCAGUGUCCCUUGUGGCUUCCCUUAUGGGUUUCUUGAAGAUGUAGAGCGAUUUCCUCUCCGAUUUCUCUACCAUUCCUUCUUCUGAUUCCCCUCUCCUUUUCUCCGCUUUUUCCCUUUUUUGUGCUCUAUUGAGAUGUUGUGGGUUUUGUUUGUAUAUUGGGUUUGUGGUGGGGGUGUGUGAUGGUGGAGACGACUACUGUAUGACUGUAUCGGAUUCAUUGAUCUUUAUAUAUAUAUAAC
rnacentral:lncRNA from 1 species